rfam:Gossypium hirsutum cultivar TM-1 chromosome 17, whole genome shotgun sequence
AUAAAAAACAAUCAUAACCAUGGGGUCUUCACAAAAAGCAUGGAAAGGGUUUAGGGCUAUGGAUUCCUCAAUUCACCUUCCUCCAAUGAAUUAAAAGCACUUUUCUCUUGUGCUUCACUCACAUGGCUGCAUGCAUGGAGGAGGAGGAGGAGGAUAGGUUCCUACAGAGUAGCUAGCUAGCAGAGGCUUUGGCUAAUGCAGUGGCAAACCGGCAAGUCACACAAAGGCAAUGGACUCCAUCUAUGAGUUCU